rnacentral:rRNA from 1 species
GAUGAACGCUAGCUACAGGCUUAACACAUGCAAGUCGAGGGGAAACGACAUCGAAAGCUUGCUUUUGAUGGGCGUCGACCGGCGCACGGGUGAGUAACGCGUAUCCAACCUGCCCAUCACUUGGGAAUAACCUUGCGAAAGUAAGACUAAUACCCAAUGAUAUCCCACGAAGGCAUCGGAAUGGGAUUAAAGAUUUAUCGGUGAUGGAUGGGGAUGCGUCUGAUUAGCUUGUUGGCGGGGUAACGGCCCACCAAGGCAACGAUCAGUAGGGGUUCUGAGAGGAAGGUCCCCCACAUUGGAACUGGGACACGGUCCAAACUCCUACGGGAGGCAGCAGUGAGGAAUAUUGGUCAAUGGGCGAGAACCUGAACCAGCCAAGUAGCGUGCAGGAUGACGGCCCUAUGGGUUGUAAACUGCUUUUAUAAGGGAAUAAAGUGGGUCUCGUGAGACUUUUUGCAUGUACCUGAUGAAUAAGGACCGGCUAAUUCCGUG